rnacentral:rRNA from 1 species
GACAGAGGUGCCAAGCGUUAGGCGGAAUCACUGGGCUUAAAGCGUGUGUAGGCGGUGAGGAAAGUCGGAUGUGAAAGCCCCGGGCUCAACCCGGGAAGUGCACCCGAUACUGCCCCACUAGAGUAUCGGAGAGGUUGGUGGAAUUCUCGGUGUAGAGGUGAAAUUCGUAGAUAUCGGGAGGAACACCGGUGGCGAAGGCGGCCAACUGGACGAAUACUGACGCUGAGACACGAAAGCGUGGGGAGCAAACAGG